UACAGAGGGUGCGAGCGUUACUCGGAAUUACUGGGCGUAAAGCGUGCGUAGACGGUUUCGUAAGUCGGAUGUGAAAUCCCCGGGCUCAACCUGGGAACUGCAUUUGUGACUGCACGGCUAGAGUGUGUCAGAGGGGGGUAGAAUUCCACGUGUAGCAGUGAAAUGCGUAGAUAUGUGGAGGAAUACCGAUGGCGAAGGCAGCCCCCUGGGAUAACACUGACGCUCAUGCACGAAAGCGUGGGGAGCAAACAGG
rnacentral:rRNA from 1 species